UACGUAGGGUGCGAGCGUUGUCCGGAAUUACUGGGCGUAAAGCGUGCGUAGACGGUAGCGUAAGUCAGAUGUGAAAGCCCCGGGCUCAACCUGGGAAUUGCAAUGGAUACUGGCGGGCUAGAGUGUGUCAGAGGAUGGUGGAAUUCCCGGUGUAGCGGUGAAAUGCGUAGAGAUCGGGAGGAACAUCAGUGGCGAAGGCGGCCAUCUGGGACAACACUGACGCUGAAGCACGAAAGCGUGGGGAGCAAACAGG
rnacentral:rRNA from 1 species